CUUUUUAUUCUAAAUUUGUAGCUACUGUUUGUGAUUUGUUUUGUUUGUUUAUUUUACAGAUUGUUAUUUCUCUAUUUUUGGGUAAACAUUUCAAUAGCUUUUGAUGAUUAUGGUUUUGUGAUCAUGUGAUUGAAUGUAUUGUGUGAACAAGGAAACUAGAAAGAAAAAAGAAAUACUUGCUUCGACACCUGCGGCAAGGACUUCAACAGCAGGCAUGCAUUUGCGGUGGCUGUGAGAUAAUAAACAGUACAGUAAUGGCGGAUGGAUGGGAAAGAGAAAGCCAAAAAGGGGUUUGGAUUGUUGUUAGUUGGGCACAAGCUUUGGGCAGUUUACAUAGAGGCAAUUGCAAUGGUGGAAGAGUAUUAGCAUUCAGCAAGCUCUUUCUGUAGAUGGUGGCGUUCGAGAUGUUAAGGCUCAUUACCCUCAGCUCAGUUUGAAAAACCUUCCUCAGGUUCUUUACUUUUGCACUGUGUAUACUAAAACAAUAAUAGUCAAUAUAAAAAUUGCUAUAAUGUUACAGUCUUGUAAAAUCUCAUCCCUUUUGUGAACCAUUUACCUUUUCAAUUUAGAAAGAUAAUUAGAAGAUGUAUUUUGCUGAAAGUAUCACUCUUA